GUCUACGGCCAUACCACCCUGAACGCGCCCGGUCUCGUCUGAUCUCGGAAGCUAAGCACGGUAGGGCCUGGUUAGUACUUGGAUGGGAGACCAGAAAACACUUGAAAUAUAUC
ensembl:rRNA 5S_rRNA 5S ribosomal RNA